CUCCAUUAAGGUUAGGUCUCUCUACCCUCUUCUCCUUUUCAUCCCUCCAUUAAGGUGAGGUCUCUCUACCCUCUUCUCCUUUUCAUCCCUCUACCCCUCCAUUAAGGUUAGGUCUCUCUACCCUCUUCUCCUUUUCAUCCCUCUACCCCUCCAUUAAGGUUAGGUCUCUCUACCCUCCUCUUCUCCUUUUCAUCCCUCUAUCCCUCCAUUAAGGUUAGGUCUCUCUACCCUCCUCUCCUUUUCAUCCCUCUACCCCUCCAUUAAGGUUAGGUCUCUCUACCCUCUUCUCCUUUUCAUCCCUCUAUCCCUCCAUUAAGGUUAGGUCUCUCUACCCUCUUCUCCUUUUCAUCCCUCUAUCCCUCCAUUAAGGUUAGGUCUCUCUACCCUCUUCUCCUUUUCAUCCCUCUAUCCCUCCAUUAAGGUUAGGUCUCUCUACCCUCCUCUUCUCCUUUUCAUCCCUCUAUCCCUCCAUUAAGGUUAGGUCUCUCUACCCUCUUCUCCUUUUCAUCCCUCUAUCCCUCCAUUAAGGUUAGGUCUCUCUACCCUCUUCUCCUUUUCAUCCCUCUACCCCUCCUUUAAGGUUAGGUCUCUCUACCCUCUUCUCCUUUUCAUCCCUCUACCCCUCCUUUAAGGUUAGGUCUCUACACUUUUUUCCCCCCUUCACAAAGAAUGCACUCAAUCUCUCCCCCUCAUGGCUGGAGUUGUGGGUAAUGUAGUUGUUGCAUCUGUU